AUUACUUUUGAAAAGUUAGAACACAAUUUGAAGUAUUUAUGAUAAUCUUUUUUAAAGCUGAUACAAUAGAAUAGCGAUUUGCAUGACAUGUUUUAAUCAAAAAACUAAAGAAAACCCCUAAAAUAUCAUUUUUCUUCUAUUCAAAACGCCGGACUAAACCCUUUGGCCACUUGCUUGAGGUUUUGAUUGGUAUGAAAGCAAAAAACUUAACAAGACUUACUUUAGUCAAGCAAUGAAUAAACACAAGCAUGUUCUACAAUUAGACCCAUACAGACCAAUUUUCAUUGCAAACUGUCUAAUCCAUGAGUAAGUAGAAAAGCAUAUUUUUUUCCAAGUGCGUUAAUUGAGGUGUUUUCUGGAUGAGGUAGAAAAAAUAGAGAUACAAAUAAAAUCGUCUUCUGUAAAUUACCAAACACGUUACCAAAGAUUCAAAGGAAUGACAGGAAACUCGUGAAUACGCAAUUGGUUCAAACAGACAAUGGAGAUAAAGAAGUAAACAAAAUGCAAGGUGAUUUUUGGACAGGAUCACGCUUGUCUUAAUGUUAGAUUAAGAAGUUCACCAAUGUAAUUUUUUGUUAUACAUUAAUUGUUUUUUCCCCUAUCUUUAUCUGUAUACUUAACAAUGGUAAUUAAUUUAUAGAAUGUUUAUGUCAUGUUAUGUACUAGUAUUCUGAUGAGUCGUAUAACGUAAGGAAAUUGAUUGAAUUAAAUGUUAGAACG
rnacentral:sRNA from 1 species